rnacentral:rRNA from 1 species
UAGAGUUUGAUUAUGGCUCAGGAUGAACGCUGGCGGCGUGCCUAACACAUGCAAGUCGAACGGGGCGCGCAGGCUGAGGCUUUUCGGAGCGGAAGCCUGCGCUGCCCAGUGGCGGACGGGUGAGUAACGCGUGGGCAACCUGCCCUGCACUGGGGGACAACAGCCGGAAACGGCUGCUAAUACCGCAUAUGCCCGCAGCCCCGCAUGGGGCGGCGGGGGAAGCUCCGGCGGUGCAGGAUGGGCCCGCGUCUGAUUAGCUGGUUGGCGGGGCAACGGCCCACCAAGGCGACGAUCAGUAGCCGGCCUGAGAGGGUGGGCGGCCACAUUGGGACUGAGACACGGCCCAGACUCCUACGGGAGGCAGCAGUGGGGGAUAUUGCACAAUGGGGGGAACCCUGAUGCAGCGACGCCGCGUGGGCGAUGGAGUGCUUCGGCAUGUAAAGCCCUAUCAGCAGGGAAGAAAAUGACGGUACCUGACUAAGAAGCCCCGGCUAAAUACGUGCCAGCAGCCGCGGUAAUACGUAUGGGGCAAGCGUUAUCCGGAUUUACUGGGUGUAAAGGGAGCGUAGGCGGCCUGGCAAGCCUGAUGUGAAAUACCGGGGCCCAACCCCGGGGCUGCAUUGGGAACUGCCAGGCUGGAGUGCCGGAGAGGCAGGCGGAAUUCCUAGUGUAGCGGUGAAAUGCGUAAAUAUUAGGAGGAACACCAGUGGCGAAGGCGGCCUGCUGGACGGUGA